rnacentral:lncRNA from 1 species
GAGGACGAAAUAUCUGACCUGAAUCAGAAAGAAUGUGCUAGCUGGUGCUUCUCGUGAAGAAAAAGGAAGGGCUAGGCAAACGAAAGAACAGUUUUAAGGCAAUGCAUCUGAAUAAUGAAAUAGAAAGAGUCAGAGGAAUAAUUACCCUGGACCACAAAACAAGAAUGAACUUAUAACUAACUAACCGCAAAGGACAAACUG